rnacentral:lncRNA from 1 species
AUGUAGCUUAACUAAUCUAGAAGUAGGUCUAGAAAUUAAAGUUAAUACCCUGUUUAUGAAGGAUGCCAGCACUUUAAUUGUAAAUAAGGCAUAUUAAUUUCAAGCGCUCAAAUACAAUUAAAUGCCAAUGUGAGGCAUAUUCAACAAGACUAGAGGUACAGAACCCCCUCUUAGUAAGAGCAUGAUUCUUCAACUAUAGAAACAUGGGCAACAUCUGCCAAGGUUCUAGAAGUCUCAGACUAGUAAGGGUUGUGCUUGGUUUUAAAUGAUACCUGUGAGUUAAAAAAUAGAUUUUUUUUUCUUGAACAGGCUUGGCUGUGGUUAGCUGGUAACUAAGGGAGGUAGUGGUGGGCAAAGUGCAGCUGCUUCUGCCAAAGGCUGUGGGGCGCAGGCUGCUCACUGCCAGCCGGGAAGCUCUGCAGAGGGAGCAGCUGUGGGCAGCCACAGCCUGGCCUGCAGCACAGCUCUGCUCCCUGGGCACUGACAGCAGCACGGGGAGCAAGCCCUGGGGAGCAGGAGCUCUGCAGACCCCAGGGUGUCCAUCACAGCUCUCUAAACACAACAUGAUAAUACAAGUUGUCAAUACUAGUAAUCUGUGACACACGUGCAUUUAUGACACGCAUAACUAGACAGAGAAACACAAAAAGUCUCUUCCUCCCUAGCAGAUGCCCUUGGAAUUUCCUCAAACCUUUAAUCCAUUCUAGCAGGGAAGGAUGACUGUCAGUCCAGAAAUACCUGCAAAACAGGUGCUGAUGCCAUCAAGUGAUGGAAGGUGAUAUGCUGAGAUGCUUUAUGUCAGCAAUGAGGGCAAUCAGAUUCCCAGAAAACAAUUCCAAGCUGAUCUCCAGAACAGAAAGAGUUAAUAAAGUUGCUGUGACAAAAUUUAUGGGACUAAAACAAACUAAGUCACUGAUGAAGAAAGGAGGAAGAGUGCAUUUGCUCCUGAGAUCCAGCUCUACUGAGGAUUUUAUCUGUUUUUUCAGAUCCAAGACAAGAGAUUACAUUAUGACUGACAUGCUGAUGUAUUUUUUUACUCCUUGUAAGAACCUAAGCAGUGCAGGAGUUUUGGUACAGGCUGCAUUUCAGCGUGUUGAAAGAUUCUGUGCUUGUUCCAAGAGGCUCCCAAUGAAAUUUCCUCACACUGAAUGUCCAUGGCAUUUCAAUUCUGCACUUGCUACAAAGGCACAGGGCAUGACCAGUUCCUUGGUUUCCAUCCCUCUCACUCCAUUCCCAACAAAUACAGUACAAUGCCAAGUACAGUCCUUUUCACAUGCAGCUUUCCUUCUUCCACCCAGGAUUUAA